UGCCACGCAAAAGAUAAUCUCAGUGGCAGCAAUGCUUUCCCCCUCCCUCUCCCGAUGGAUCAAAAGUCCACUUCCACUCGGUACAAAAAUUAAGUUCGUUACCUCCCCCUUGGUUUUUUUUUGCUGAUGGAAAAUGCUGAGCCUGCAUCUUCCCUUCUGCGGGACCUCACGCCGAGCCAAACUCGCGGGCCAGUCCCUUCCCCCUUCCCUCGUGUGCCGUUCGUACGCCAAGGCCAACAGCACCCGUGGCGAGAUACGGACUACAAAGCGUUUCGGACAAAACGAUUCGUCGCAAUCGAGGGCACUGUGAGAAAUGCCGGGACGUGUCUGGAAGAGAGAUCAGCGAUUCAAUGGACAGUUCCGUGAGUUGUAAUUGAUCGCUUGGUUUUUCGUUGCCGCGCUUAAUUAUUGACAAUUCCGAUUAGUUAUUUAUUGGGGUCCCGUUUCUCGUUGUGAUGUAUUACAAGCAUCCACGAGAUAAGAGGCGCAACCAUUUUUGCAUUCUCGGAAUUCUCACACGGCCAAAACACCAAAUUCCACUUAGCCAGAGGCAUUGCCUCAUGCUCUCGCGCCGCGUUAUCUUCUGGAUAACGAUUCACAUUCGUAAAUUACAUUCUAAAACAAAUUAUUAGUGCGGAUGAGAUGGGUGGAGGGGGUGUCUCGAACAGCCAAGCUUGGGACUAGGAGACAACGCGACAGCGCCUGUUAAAUAUUAGCCAGUUCAUUGAUGCAGACAUUCACAACAAUUAAAGUACGAGCCUAAAAUAUGUCAUCAUUGCGAUCUCAUUUCUGAGACUUUUUUUUCUUCUGAGAAACCAAUUUGUUUUUUUUUUAUAAUAAAAUUAAUUCUUUGCUGCACUUUAUUUGAAUUUGCUUUUCUUUUGCCAUUUUGGCGACUCUGAGACAACCCUUCCACAUGCGACUCAUCCUUGUCUCCUGAGUGCUUACCAUGUUCAACAAAACAAACAUGAAACUUUAAUCCUGAGCUAGCCCCUUUGUUCCCGUGGAUUGUGAAGAUGAUGCGCGGAGUUCCAGUGUUGUUCAUUUUUAACGCGUUUUUUUCCCUCUCUCAAAUCCAUUAUUAUUGUUGUUGUUAUCCAUUCCUUGUGUUGUGCAUUUUUUUCUAGCACGCUUCUGGUGCAAACUCUAAUCCUCAAAAAGGGGAUGGAGCAGCAGCUGAGUGGUUCUCACGCUGCACGAAGAAGCGAGUUACUAAAGUUAGAUUCCCGGCCACAGUUACCAUGAGCGGCGAGUGAUACCUGAAUUGGUCCUGGACCCACCACCCCUUUCAUCAACACGCACUGCCCAGCGUGCCUUGGUUAAUACGUACGUGCUUCGCAAUGGAGUUGGAAGCGGGUCCACUUGCCCCUGGACAAGGACAAAGCAAACUAAUUCUGGAUUGGCUGGCGGCGAUUGAAAGAGGUUGCCACUGUCGACUCAGCAUCAAACGAGUAACUGCUCUGCUUUGUGAACAUCGCCACUGGGGAGACAAAGGCGGCCGGGCGUGGUGGUGAAUCCAAGACCCGGGCGAAGCCGGGUAGUACAGCUAGUGCACGCAUAUAAAUGAAUCACACAAUACUGACAAAUCUCAUGCCGUACAUCCAGGGGCGGAGCCAGGAUUUCAAGCUGGGGUGACAUUCAACAAAUGUUAAUUUCAAGAAUGAUU